UGAUUUGUUGACCCAGGCAGGGCCGAGACUUCAUUGCAACAUCAGAAAAUGGUGGUUAUGAGAUUUUCAGUUUGAGAAUGGUGGCCAUAAAAAGUUUUGUACUGUCACGGUCCUGAAACAUACUCCUUGUUGGCCAAUGCUUCAAGUAGAUAGGCUCCCCAAUAUACAACCAAUGGAAGACUCAAACCUUCAGCCUCUGGCAGUGACUGCCAGCUUUGCUAUGGGAGAACACCCUCAUCGCUUCUCUAGAACACCCAUACCAUCUCUGUACUCAGCUUGGUUGCAGCCUCCAAUCUCUGCUUUCUCCAUCUAACUGAACCCAGGGAGUACCAGCACAACAGCUACCUGUCAGUUGUAGAAGUUCCACCAGAAGAUAAGGGGGAAGGAGGAUCUCCCCACUGCCCAGGCAGCUAUUUCCGGGCCAAAUCCUUGGAGUCAAAGCAGCGUCCAACCAUCAACACCAACAAGAGAGCUGCCUCUGUCCGGACAUCGUAUAGUCAUCAUCUCCAUCAUAUGAAGGGACAUUUAUUCUGUGGAGAACUCCCCCAGAUGACUUGAAAGUCUUGUGCCCUAUAACGGAAGAGCAGCGACCCAUAAGGGAGAGAAUGAAGUGAUGAGGUCAGUUAGAGAAGGGGGAUGCAGCACACUGAACUUCUAUGGGAAGAGUUGAGUUUUCUGUGGACUUUGAGAAAAGAACAGGUUUCAUUGCCCUCAGUAGCACGGAUAUAGACUGGUGGGAAGUAAGAAGCAUCUGGCUAUUACAAGAGUUAGAUUUUCAUACUAUUAUGAGAAGUUUUUUAUUUUAGUUAUUCAUAUUAUAGUUGUCUAUAGUUGAUUUCAUAAAACAGCUAUAUCAGCUUUACCUUGUUUAACAUUUUAUAGAUCUUGUGCUGAUUUAUUCAGUUUUGUAUAUUAAGGUUUAUUAUAUUGUAGUGGCUUAUAUAUUAGGACAUGUAGAACGUUAAUAUCUUCUUUAUAUAUUUUAAUGUUUGAAUCCAUAGUUGUGCUCUUUAUCUUCACAUCAAUCUUCCUUUGCAGAUCCCAAAUCAGAGGCUGGCAAGGGGAUUCAUAGAAAUCAUCCAUCUUGCCCCAUAACAAUAAUAUUAGUACUAUAAAAUGUUUCUACCUACUUUACAUUGAAUAUUUCAUACUAAUCAUACUAAUAUUACUUUUUUCAAUGUUAUAGUCAUACUAAUCAUACUAACAUUAAUUUAUUCAAUUAUAUAUUAUAUUUUAUUAUAAGAAAAU